AUAACUCUAUUUCCUUCUCUC
rnacentral:misc_RNA from 1 species